rnacentral:rRNA from 1 species
CCUACGGGGAGCAGCAGUAGGGAAUCUUCCACAAUGGGCGAAAGCCUGAUGGAGCAACGCCGCGUGGGUGAAGAAGGUCUUCGGAUCGUAAAACCCUGUUGUUAGAGAAGAAAGUGCGUGAGAGUAACUGUUCACGUUUCGACGGUAUCUAACCCGAAAGCCACGGCUAACUACGUGCCAGCAGCCGCGGUAAUACUUAGGUGGCAAGCGUUAUCCGGAUUUUUUGGGCGUAAAGGGAACGCAGGCGGUCUUUUAAGUCUGAUGUGAAAGCCUUCGGCUUAACCGGAGUAGUGCAUUGGAAACUGGGAGACUUGAGUGCAGAAGAGGAGAGUGGAACUCCAUGUGUAGCGGUGAAAUGCGUAGAUAUAUGGAAGAACACCAGUGGCGAAAGCGGCUCUAUGGUCUGUAACUGACGCUGAGGUUCGAAAGCGUGGGUAGCAAACAGGAUUAGAUACCCGUGUAGUC